CGGGUGACAGGGAGACAGGUGGUGCAUGGUUGUCGUCAGCUCGUGUCGUGAGAUGUUGGGUUAAGUCCCGCAACGAGCGCAACCCCUACGUUUAGUUGCUAACGCGUGAAGGCGAGCACUCUAGACGAACUGCCGUUGACAAAACGGAGGAAGGUGGGGAUGACGUCAAAUCAUCAUGCCCCUUAUGUUCUGGGCUACACACGUGCUACAAUGGCCGGUACAGACGGACGCAAAGCCGCGAGGUGGAGCAAAUCCUAAAAAGCCGGUCUCAGUUCGGAUUGCAGGCUGCAAUUCGCCUGCAUGAAGCCGGAAUCGCUAGUAAUCGCAGGUCAGCAUGCUGCGGUGAAUACGUUCCCGGGUCUU
rnacentral:rRNA from 1 species